rnacentral:rRNA from 1 species
AACGAACGCUGGCGGCAUGCCUAACACAUGCAAGUCGAACGAGACCUUCGGGUCUAGUGGCGCACGGGUGCGUAACGCGUGGGAACCUGCCCUUAGGUUCGGAAUAACUCCCCGAAAGGGGUGCUAAUACCGGAUAAUGUCUUCGGACCAAAGAUUUAUCGCCUUUGGAUGGGCCCGCGUUGGAUUAGCUAGUUGGUAUGGUAAAAGCCUACCAAGGCGACGAUCCAUAGCUGGUCUGAGAGGAUGUUCAGCCACACUGGGACUGAGACACGGCCCAGACUACUACGGGAGGCAGCAGUGGGGAAUAUUGGACAAUGGGCGAAAGACUGAUCCAGCAAUGCCGCGUGAGUGAUGAAGGCCUUAGGGUUGUAAAGCUCUUUUACCCGGGAUGAUAAUGACAGUACCGGGAGAAUAAGCGCCGGCUAACUCCGUG